UCAGUAAAGAAUAAAAGAAAAACGUGGUAGGGGAAUAAGGGGUAAGACAGGGUUGUGAGGAAUACUGGGAAUGUAUCAUUUAUACAAAAGGAGGCGUUUGGAGUAUCUGAAACUGAUAAGGCCUACAACCUCCUAGGUCCAGAGCCAGGAGACCUUAGGCUUGGCAAACCAGCCAGAUGAAGCUGUAAUAAACAACAUUAGGACAUCACCUCGUAAAAAAUUUACCAUACUGUCAGUUUGUAUAGGUGGGAGGAACUAUGAUUCUUUUAAACUAUGAUCGAUCUAGUACCCAAGGCCAGCCCUUAAGGAAUCAUAGUUGAGCAAGUAGCCACCUCCACGUUGAUUCUCGCUGUGAAUACAAGAAUACCCUGGUAUUGUUUGUGUCUUGAAAAGGGAGAAGGAAAUACCCAAGAAUAAACGUGUUUAAACUGCAAGAGACUAGAAUUAAACGGAGUCUUUCGUUGCCGUCGAUGAAUAACGAAGAGAAAGCUAGUUGUUACGAUCAUCCCUGACUUGAAUGGCCAGGUGUUGGAAAAACAAAGUUCAGGGGUAUUCAGACAACUCUAGAACUACAAAGCUGAGUAAAAUGAUCUUCCAACCAUGACUUCUUUCUAAAAUUAGUGGAUUAUUGAGGAAGAGUUUACUGGAAUUUCUGGCGACAAUUAUUGCAAUAGGGAAGUAGGUUUAUACUAAUUGAUUCGCCCUUCCACUCUCUAUUUUCAAUAAUGUAGUAGUGUGCAAAAGAAGUAAUAGUUUCAUGUUGGUAGUUUUAGUGUUAAGUAGUGUAGGUGAAUCCCUUCAAUUCAGUAAAUAAUUUAUU